GUAACAAGGUUUCCGUAGGUGAACCUGCGGAAGGAUCAUUACCGAGUGCGGGCCCUCGCGGCCCAACCUCCCACCCUUGUCUCUAUACACCUGUUGCUUUGGCGGGCCCACCGGGGCCACCGGGUCGCCGGGGGACGCACGUCCCCGGGCCCGCGCCCGCCGAAGCGCUCUGUGAACCCUGAUGAAGAUGGGCUGUCUGAGUACUAUGAAAAUUGUCAAAACUUUCAACAAUGGAUCUCUUGGUUCCGGCAUCGAUGAAGAACGCAGCGAAAUGCGAUAAGUAAUGUGAAUUGCAGAAUUCCGUGAAUCAUCGAAUCUUUGAACGCACAUUGCGCCCCCUGGCAUUCCGGGGGGCAUGCCUGUCCGAGCGUCAUUUCUGCCCUCAAGCACGGCUUGUGUGUUGGGUGUGGUCCCCCCGGGGACCUGCCCGAAAGGCAGCGGCGACGUCCGUCUGGUCCUCGAGCGUAUGGGGCUCUGUCACUCGCUCGGGAAGGACCUGCGGGGGUUGGUCACCACCAUGUUUUACCACGGUUGACCUCGGAUCAGGUAGGAGUUACCCGCUGAACUUAAGCAUAUC
rnacentral:rRNA from 1 species